GGAUAGAAGAAAUAUUUUCUAUACUAGUUAUGAUUCAAAUUAGGGUUUUCAAAAAUUCAAAUGUGAAAACGUUUGGUGUUAUGUUGGCGCCUUUGAAGCUUGAGUCCUUUAUAUAUGUAUGCUUCAGGCUAAAAUUCUAGAGAAAAGAAACAUGGAAGCACAGAUGGCCAAGCUGAGUAAUUUGGCUACUGAAAACGCCACCAAAUGGGACCCGCUUCAAGCAAAUAACCAAGUCAAAGGUAAGAGGCACGAAUAGUCAACUGACUUAAACAUCAAAGAACCUUUGGCAGGUACACUUCUGGACAGUGGAACGAAGACGAGGGCUCAAGAGAACGACUGGACAACCAUCAAGGAGAAAUUGUGUAGGUGUUUGAAGGAACUUGACCCCACUACCGAAACAUUUUGACGCCCACCGUGAGGCCGAGUAACUUGUCAAACCUAAUGGUGACUACAAGUAAUAUGAGAACUGAAGACCCGACCGAGAUGAUUAGGAUGCUACAACAAAGAAUGGAGGAAAUGCAACAACAUCAUGAGGCGGAGUUAGCAGCCGUUUGGGCCGAAUGUUCGUCCCGGAUUGCUCAGGAGAAGAUCCUAGGAGCAGGAGUGAAGGCGGGAGAAGAGCGGAAGAACCAAAGGACCGAGUAGAAUACCGUGUCGGACGAGACAUGGAAACCGACCGAAACCAAGAUCCAGGAAAGCGGGACUAAGACCAUCCCGACCGAGAGCGCGACUUUUAGUAAACAAUUGGUGAUGAAGGCUGAGAACACUUCCGACAACUUACUAUUUGUCUAAGCUAUUAUGGACGUCCAUAUAUCCAAACAGUUUUUCCUACCUCAAUUCAAGGUGUAUGACAGGAUGAUUGACCCGGACGACCACAUUAAGACGUUCAUCAACUGGAUGGCGUUUCAUACGGGGAACGACUGACGUCAUCUGGUGCCAGGCUUUCUCCUUAUCGCUGGAGGGAAAAGCACUGGAGUGAUUCAACUCUUUGCCAUUCCAUUGAAAACUUUGAGAGCCUCAAAGUUAUAUUCGGACGCAAGUAGUUGGAAUCAAGACUUAAUGGGGUGGGACGCUGUUAAGACUCCAACGAGUGUACCGAAUCGUAUCAAGUAAUAUAAUUGGUAAGACCAAGUAUCAUUUUUCCUAGAGACUCACGGCUUAGACAUUCAUGUGGUUUCUUGAUUAAUUAAGACUUGGAAACAAAAUCAUUGAGUUUAUAAUGCAGAAAAUAAAUAUGAAUGCAAGUGUCCAACAAAAAUUGAAGUUUAGUUCACCAUAAACAUGGUUAAACUAGAUUAAAUAUGGCAAAGAAUGAAAGAUAAAAUCCUAAAAGUUGAAGAUCGGAGCUUCCGCAUCCAAAAUUUGCCUCCAAGGGGUGAAAGGUAUGUUUUUGCGCCUCUUCUGUAAAAAGAUACCUCAUCUAGGUCGUCCACAUCAUUAAAUAACUCGUAAAAAUAACAGAAAACACAACCCAAGCCUAGUCCUUUGUGCUUAGUGCCCCACUUAGGGCGCCCAGGCAUGAAAUAACGAAUAGUGUCGCACAACGCCCCUGGAAGGGCGCCCAGGCGGUAUCUGCGGCACUUAACUGCCGCUCAACGCCCAAAACUGGCGCUCAACGCUACUUUUCUGCACAUUCCAACCGCUCAGCGCUACAAACUGCCACUCAGCACCAGCGGAUUUUUUCAGCACUGCGUUUUUUCCUCUUUUUCUGUAGUUUCGCUCGCUCAUUGAGUUCCAACUCCUUGCUAUUUCAACUCUUCUACCCAAUCAUCUCAAUUCCUGUUAAAACAAGGAAAUCUAAGCAUAAAAUCAAUAAGUUCACUUUCAACUCUCUUAUUCACACAACUUAAACAAAAUCAUGAUUCCAAGCUAGUUUCUAAGUAAAAAAGGGUGUUCUUAGUAUCAAAAUUAAGUAUCAAAUAACAGUGUUUUCAACCAUUAUCAAACGACUCUUUGAUUCGCGGAUCAACUCAACACUGAGUGCUUCCUACAAUAUCUUAGCCCGGGGGGCGUUUAAUGGGGUGUACAGUUUCAGGUACUUCAUUUCAAAGAAGUCAUGUCAAGAACUAGAGCAUGAGGUUGAGCCAUAAAAGCAAAUCUACCUAGAAAGAAAACCUUUGAAACCACAAGUUCACUAUUGAGCAUUGCAAUUUAUAGUUUAUUAAAAUAAAAUUGUAUCCCUAUUUUGGUAGAACUUUUGGAGUGUCUUUUAAAGACUUUUUAAAGGGCUUUUGUAAACACUUU